AUUACAUUUUUUUUUCUAAUUAAAAAAAGAAGAAAAAUCGAUCAGUACCGACCAUACGUGAGAGAUAACUGACGUUUUUAUUGAUAGGUGGCCGCGAUAUCAUUGACCCCAGCAUCAGUAAAUAGUUAGGUUAGGUUAGGCUCCUUUCUCUUCACAAUUGCUAUAAGCUGCUCUCGUUUUGUUUCACCCCUUUCACCGUACGCGCGUGCUCGACAUCCAUUCACUACAUUCAUCGCUACUACUACGCAUCACUACUAUUUUACUAUCCUUCCCAAAAAACUAGCAGUCUUAUCCACGAUAUCGUGACAGUUGCUUUGUUUAACUUUAUUCGCUUCGUCGCGGCUUCGGCUAUAAAAGAUUUGUGCUACAUUCUGCAUUAAGGCUGAGAAAUCGAAAAGAAAUCACUUAUAAACUCUUAUUCUCACUCAUACAUGCGUGUGUGACAUUCACAACCAGUGACAGCCGUUUCGUGUAGUUUCAAGAUGGAGAGAAAACAAUGUCGUGACUAUCGCUCUCGCACAAGGGGGUUGUAAACACAGCCUGGGUCGGUGAUUCUGCUAGUUUUGCGUGAGGUCGACGAGAACAGAAAAGUGUAAUGGCGAAAUCUGUGCUAAGUUCAGACACGCUGCCAAAGGCCGGUCGUGUAAACGAAGUAUGCCGUGAAUGGUUGGUACACGAAGACGGGGCAUUGGCUUAUCGGCUUCAAGAUGAAGAAAGUAUGUAAAAACUUUA